rnacentral:rRNA from 1 species
GAAUCUGGGAGGACCAUCUCCUAAGGCUAAAUACUCUCUAGUGACCGAUAGUGAACCAGUACCGUGAGGGAAAGGUGAAAAGCACCCCGGAAGGGGAGUGAAAUAGAACCUGAAACCGUGUGCUUACAAGUAGUCAGAGCCCGUUAAUGGGUGAUGGCGUGCCUUUUGUAGAAUGAACCGGCGAGUUACGAUUUGAUGCAAGGUUAAGCAGUAAAUGUGGAGCCGUAGCGAAAGCGAGUCUGAAUAGGGCGUUUAGUAUUUGGUCGUAGACCCGAAACCAGGUGAUCUACCCUUGGUCAGGUUGAAGUUCAGGUAACACUGAAUGGAGGACCGAACCGACUUACGUUGAAAAGUGAGCGGAUGAACUGAGGGUAGCGGAGAAAUUCCAAUCGAACCUGGAGAUAGCUGGUUCUCUCCGAAAUAGCUUUAGGGCUAGCCUCAAGUGAUGAUUAUUGGAGGUAGAGCACUGUUUGGACGAGGGGCCCCUCUCGGGUUACCGAAUUCAGACAAACUCCGAAUGCCAAUUAAUUUAACUUGGGAGUCAGAACAUGGGUGAUAAGGUCCGUGUUCGAAAGGGAAACAGCCCAGACCACCAGCUAAGGUCCCAAAAUAUAUGUUAAGUGGAAAAGGAUGUGGCGUUGCCCAGACAACUAGGAUGUUGGCUUAGAAGCAGCCAUCAUUUAAAGAGUGCGUAAUAGCUCACUAGUCGAGUGACACUGCGCCGAAAAUGUACCGGGGCUAAACAUAUUACCGAAGCUGUGGAUUGUCCUUUGGACAAUGGUAGGAGAGCGUUCUAAGGGCGUUGAAGCAUGAUCGUAAGGACAUGUGGAGCGCUUAGAAGUGAGAAUGCCGGUGUGAGUAGCGAAAGACGGGUGAGAAUCCCGUCCACCGAUUGACUAAGGUUUCCAGAGGAAGGCUCGUCCGCUCUGGGUUAGUCGGGUCCUAAGCUGAGGCCGACAGGCGUAGGCGAUGGAUAACAGGUUGAUAUUCCUGUACCACCUAUAAUCGUUUUAAUCGAUGGGGGGACGCAGUAGGAUAGGCGAAGCGUGCGAUUGGAUUGCACGUCUAAGCAGUAAGGCUGAGUAUUAGGCAAAUCCGGUACUCGUUAAGGCUGAGCUGUGAUGGGGAGAAGACAUUGUGUCUUCGAGUCGUUGAUUUCACACUGCCGAGAAAAGCCUCUAGAUAGAAAAUAGGUGCCCGUACCGCAAACCGACACAGGUAGUCAAGAUGAGAAUUCUAAGGUGAGCGAGCGAACUCUCGUUAAGGAACUCGGCAAAAUGACCCCGUAACUUCGGGAGAAGGGGUGCUCUUUAGGGUUAACGCCCAGAAGAGCCGCAGUGAAUAGGCCCAAGCGACUGUUUAUCAAAAACACAGGUCUCUGCUAAACCGUAAGGUGAUGUAUAGGGGCUGACGCCUGCCCGGUGCUGGAAGGUUAAGAGGAGUGGUUAGCUUCUGCGAAGCUACGAAUCGAAGCCCCAGUAAACGGCGGCCGUAACUAUAACGGUCCUAAGGUAGCGAAAUUCCUUGUCGGGUAAGUUCCGACCCGCACGAAAGGCGUAACGAUUUGGGCACUGUCUCAACGAGAGACUCGGUGAAAUCAUAGUACCUGUGAAGAUGCAGGUUACCCGCGACAGGACGGAAAGACCCCGUGGAGCUUUACUGUAGCCUGAUAUUGAAAUUCGGCACAGCUUGUACAGGAUAGGUAGGAGCCUUUGAAACGUGAGCGCUAGCUUACGUGGAGGCGCUGGUGGGAUACUACCCUAGCUGUGUUGGCUUUCUAACCCGCACCACUUAUCGUGGUGGGAGACAGUGUCAGGCGGGCAGUUUGACUGGGGCGGUCGCCUCCUAAAAGGUAACGGAGGCGCUCAAAGGUUCCCUCAGAAUGGUUGGAAAUCAUUCAUAGAGUGUAAAGGCAUAAGGGAGCUUGACUGCGAGACCUACAAGUCGAG